CAUUUCCUUGGGCGUUGCAAACGACCACCACGUUUUCGACGGGAUCGCCGCCCUCCAUUACAUCAACACGUGGGCCGACACCGCUCGCGGCCUAACCGCUGCGGCCUUCCCCCCGUUCCACGACCGCCGCCUCCUCUCGGCGCGCAGCCCGCCGCAACCGCAAUUCCCCCACGACGAAUACCAGCCCCCGCCGCCGCUCAUAACCCCUCUCUCCCCCCCCAACACCGACACAUUACACUCAACAUUCAGCCUCACUCCCGACCACCUCCGCGCCCUCAAGCAGAGAUGCAAC
rnacentral:lncRNA from 1 species